AUUUUAAUUGAAGUCAAAAUAUUAUUUUAUUUGAUCACUGGAUCAAGUUUAAUUUAGUCAUCCGUACCGACAAAAUUAUAUAUGUUUCAGUAUAUGUUAUUAUAUAUUUUAAUGCAUUAAAUCAGUAGAAAAAUAAGUGUAGUAAUUGCAGUUUACAGUGAAGAUCAGUUCUUCUAAACGAAAGCAUUGCUUUUACUAAAAAAAACGAAAAAAAAAAAAACUAAGAAAGAAAGAAAAGAAGGAACAAGAACAAAGAUUAGUGUGUGUGUGUGUUAGUUAAAAUUAAUAACUAGUUCUUACUAAACGAAAGACAGUAGUCUUUAAACGUAAAAAACGAAAAAAAAAAAAAAACUAAGAAAGAAAGAAAGAAGGAACAAGAACAAAGAUUGUGUGUGUGUGUGUGUUAAAAUUAAUAAUGCAUGUGCCUAAUUUGGGAAAUAAUUUGGUGAACAAAUAUACGCAAGCUAUUGGUUUAUUAUGAAAACUAUGAUUUAUCAUCACAGUGUCACUGUGAUUGGACCUCUGGUUUGUGUGAACCUCUUAAUUAAGGAAAUAAGAUUAAAUUAAGACUGAAAAGUUUCACCUGUGCUGAGAUGAGCUGAGACUAUAAAUUGUGUUCAGACGCUCGUGAGGCAUUACUUCAGACUGUGACUGCGAGGAGAACAGCAGCGAGCAUGAAAACUUCAUCUGACAGGAACCGGAAGUCCCUGAAGAAGUCCAGGAGCACAGGCUGGACACGCAAACAGAGCACCAAGGCAUAUUCUGCUUACAUCUACAAGAUUGAGAAGGAGCUGUCUGUUGACGUGGUUGACGACGCCUCUUUGAUGCGGCACCUGUCCGGUGCGCACGCGCAGGUGUGCGCCGAGGCCGCGCGACUCUCCAAGUUCAACCGGCGGCGCGUCAUCACGCAGCGAGAGCUCCACGCCGCCGCCGUGCGCGCGCUCCGGGACCGAAGCUCCUGACAGCUGGAGAUUUAAAUGCUGCGCUUUUAGACGUGUAAACAAUUAAUAAAGAGCUUUCGUUUUUAAAAACGCUGUCUUUACGCCAUGAGUUUUUGUUUGGUAUUAUUGCAGCGUAAUUUAAAACGCGCUGAGGCUCGUAAAUGUAUGUGUACCGUCUCCAAAGUUUUUACGCCACUCGUUACAUGUAACUGGAUUUAAUGGACUUAAUUUAAUUACAAAAUAUAAGUGUAAUCAGUUACUGAGAAGAAAAUGUGUAAUUAAGGCGAGACAGUGCAGGUGAAUAGGGUAAAAAUAGUUAUCACCUUACUUGCCAAGUUGAUUGAUUACAUUGAUAAUUGCGAACUUUUUUGUAUUACAAGUUUUCUAAAAUUUUACAUUUAAAUAUGCAAGCGAGGUAUUUAAUGAAAUGUGCGCUAAUUUGCAUACGUUUCUAAUACAAAAAUCUGAACACUGGAUGAAGUCAGUUUAAAAAUUGACAGUCAAAUGUUUUUACAGAAGGAUUUCUGGGUAUCUCUUUUUGCCACUCCAUAAUUCAGAAAAUACUUUGAACAGCUAGAAAACAAUAUUUUCACCAUUUUUGGGGGAAUAAGAUGUUGUAUAUAACCAAGAAAAUUAUAUAUGAACAAAUCCCUCUGUAAAAGCCUUCAGAAUAUAGACGGGAAUAAAUAUGUAAAGUUCUGUGUGUGUAAGUGCCACAGAAGUGGAGAUUUAUGGCUCAGAGUUUGAGAAAAAACUCAUUUUGAGAAAGCGGCCUUUAAAAGUAUGUAUUGUAAUUGGAAUCUAUUGACACAAAUAGAUAGUGCUAUAAAAGAAACACUUAACAGUGUCUUUUGGAUGUUUUCUUUCCAUAAGUCUGAAAAAACACUUUAUGAAAAGCCCAAAAUCUAAAUAUUGACAGGUGCAUGAAAAAACAGUUUUUGCCUGCAGUGUCUCCCCUUAAGUUGGUUAUGAAAAUGUUAACGAUUACAUAGAGGGUUACAUCUGAAUUUUUCACACCCACAUACAGAUUUAAUUGACUUUUCAUAAAUUGCAGCGCCUGCUGUAAACUGAGAGUCUCAGGAG
rnacentral:lncRNA from 1 species